AUGAGGAUGUGGACUGCUUGGUGUGUGACCAUGUACUUCUUUGGAGCAAGAGCUAAAAUCACCCAAACCUCAAGUCUUGUGGUGAGAGAAGAUGAGAAAACUACUCUGAAAUGCAGUCAAAAUGAUAAUCACAAUAGUAUGUUCUGGUAUAUGCAGCAGCCAGGGAAGGGGCUGCAAUUGAUCUAUUAUUCCUUUGGUGCAAAUGAUAAAAAAGAGGGUGACAUUCCCGAAGGAUUCCAAGCUAACCGGCCAAACCUUGCAGAGUUCAGUUUGGAUAUUUUAUCUGUGAAGAUGAACAAUUCAGCUGUCUAUUUCUGCGCCAGCAAUUCGGACACAACACUUCAAAGUCACUUACUCUCUUUACAUAAACCUCUCUCCUUUCAGAACUUUCCCUCCACUCUCAGCACAGGAAAAGGGUGUGUAGGCUAA